rnacentral:rRNA from 1 species
UACGUAGGGUGCGAGCGUUAAUCGGAAUUACUGGGCGUAAAGAGUGCGUAGGCGGUUUCUCAAGUCCGCUGUGAAAUCCCCGGGCUCAACCUGGGAAUGGCAGUGGAAACUAGGAGACUUGAAUCUGGCAGAGGGGGGUGGAAUUCCACGUGUAGCAGUGAAAUGCAUAGAGAUGUGGAGGAACACCGAUGGCGAAGGCAGCCCCCUGGGCUGAGAUUGACGCUCAGGCACGAAAGCGUGGGGAGCAAACAGG